GCUGUAGCUCAGUGGUAGAGCAUCUGCUUUGCAUGCAGAAGGUCCCAUGUUCAAUCCACAGUGGAAUCU